UGCCAUUGGGAGAAUAACACUCUGGAAG
rnacentral:piRNA from 1 species